rnacentral:rRNA from 1 species
AUGGAGUCGGCUGGUUCUUCCAAUACGGAACCUUCAGUGCGCAAGAGGAAGACGCAUUCCACUUCCCCGGAACUCAUUUCCAGCAGCGACGAGGAAGAUGAUUUCACUCCCCCACGGCGAUUCAAGCGUAAGAAGACCCAUGAAUCGAAGGCUGUCAAGGGUAAGAAAGUCUCCAACAACUCUCCCACCAUCCCCACAAAAAGUGACGAGAAGAAGAAGAAGAAGUGUCGUCCCACCAUAUGGUGUGCUCCAGAGUUUAUUAAAUCAGCUAUUGAAAUUCUAAAAGAUUGCCAGAGGAAAAGGAUCAAGAAGUUAGGUUUUGGGUGGGUGCUCAGUUUGACUGUUGAUGCGCUCCGGACAAGGAACCUGCCUGUGUUUCUAAUGGACAAUACAAGUGAAUCCCUUGUGAUCAAUGUUGGCACGCAGGGUGGUCUUAAGAUUACACCCCAUGCUGUGCAUUGUGUCCUUGGCUUACCUAAUGGCGGCAUAGAUCCACCUCCUUUAUCCCGUGCAAUAAAAAUAGAGCAACUUCGGGAGCUCAAGAAACUACUUGGUGUCCCUAAGGACGAAAACAUUACUGUUGAAGUCUUGUACCAACGCAUACGCCUCGGGGGCGAUGACGACUUGACGAUAAGAUGCUUCAUUAUAAUUGUGUUCAAUCGUCUCUUAUUCCCCACUACGGCUACAUAUAUCACAGGGAGGGAUGCGGCUUGGACUUCUGACUUACACAAUCUUCCAAAUAUUGAUUGGUGCAAGGUCCUUGUUCACGACAUUAGCCAAGCUGUAAUUUCCUGGAAGUCCAAGAGAUUGGCUUAUUCCACGAGAUUGGCUUAUUCCACGAGAUUGGCUAAUCCCAAGAAAUCGAAUGAACCAACCCUGUCCCUCACUAGUUGCACCCUCUUUUGUAUUAUUUUUUAUUUGGACAACCUAUUAAGUAUGAAUCGGCUUGAUGCAAUUGAAAUCCCACGUAUCGCACACUUCACCAAUGGUAUUAUAGCGAAUAUCUUGCAUGAGGAUACACAGAUAGCUAAUGGCCUUGAAACAUAUGGUAAACUUGCGCUUAGGCCCAAGGAGGGUACCUGCUAUUUCGAGGAUUCCCAAUCUCAGCUCUUAUUUACAGCCUGUCCAACUUCCCCGCCGCCUACUGUUCGAGUUCCCACAAAUUGUAGUGACAAUCGUGCUUCAGUUCAUGAUGGAUCAUCUGGUGACCCCAAUGUUAGUAAGGAGGUGCCUGCAAAAUUUGAUCAUUUAUCUCCGUCCGGACAACCCUCCCAAACUGAGACAUUAGAAACAGGAGAUGAGAUGAUGGAGGAAACAAAUCUUGAUGUUAGGCACAAGACCAAUGCUACAAUCCUACCUGACAAGAAUCAAGCUCAACCACCUUCCCUGCUGCGUACUGUUGACAGCAGCAGAGAUGAUCUGCACAACUCUGCUUCAGUUCAUGAUGGUUCAUGUGGAGAUAAAACUCUAACUGCAGCUCACGGAGACAUUCACACCAGGCAGGGGAGCGUGUUUAUGACCGCCAAUGCUGUCAGAACAGAUUAUCUCUCCCUGGAGGAAGAACGCAGAAAAUCUCCAAGAGAUAGUCAGCAGAUGCGGUCCAACGGGCCUUCCUCCGAACCUGAGGCUGCCCAAACUACGGAGGGGACGCAAGUUGCUCCGGGCACCUCCAUGGUAAGAAACAUGGGUUCUCUGUUGACGAUGGAGAAAGGCGUUCGGAAGGCCGGAGUGGAAACAAGUUUUCUUGACUGCCGCCUCUGCUUCCGCCCCUUAAAGCCUCCUGUCUUCCAGGCAAAUACUAGACCAAUUGUUUGUUCCAUUCACCUGAGAAAGGCAGCAUUAAUACUAACCUCUUGCUAUGAUCUUGAAUUUGUGCAGUGCAAUGGCAGGCAUUCAGUUUGUGUCACAUGCCUUACCGAGCUCCCUGGCGGACAGUGCCCGAUGUGCAAGCAUGGCGGCGGAGGCUUUGUUCCCUGCCUUUUAAUGGACGACAUCGUCUCGUUGGCAACGAUAAAGUGCUCCCACGGUGGCUGCCAGAGCUACGUCACCUACCAUGAGCAUGACGAUCACCAUAGUGCGUGCCCACACACACCCUGCUUCUGCACGGAGCCCGGCUGCAGCUUCACCGGCCCGCCACCGGCGCUCCUCGGCCACCUUGCCACCCUGCAUUCCUGGCCUGUGCACAAGAUUGAGUACGGCAAGGUUCUCUGGCUUCAGGUUCCGGUGUCAGAACCGCGGCGUCUGCUCCUCGCGGAGGACGGCAGCGUGUUCCUUCUUGUUGUGGGCUUGCUCAAUGCGAUCACUGCUGUGUCAGUGGUGUGCAUCAGGGCCAGCACGUCAGCGCUGCUGCAGUACCCAGCCAUGAUGUGGGCAUAUGGUCCGCCGGACGUUGCAGGCGGCAGAUGUAUGGUGGACACGCCGGCGGUGACGAGCAGCUCCAAGCCCUGCGAUGUUGCCGUGGAGAAGCUGCCAUUCUUCUUGGUUGUGCCGCCUGCGCAUGUGUUUGGGGCUGGGGCAUCCAAGGAGUUGUCUCUUGAGAUUCGAAUUAACAAGAUGUGA